rnacentral:lncRNA from 1 species
CCCAGACCCGAGCCCUCCAGUCCCUCCCGUCCGCCGGCGCCCCGGCAGUCGGCGCGGGACUUCCCGCUGACAAGGGUCCUUGACUUGGCUCUCAACUCCGUCCCUGAAGUCCCUGAGCGCCCAGAGACGUCCACCUGGCGGCUACAGAGCCCUGGGCGGUGGCCAAACCAUCUCCAAAAUUUUGGGCCACACGUGGGAUGGUAUUCGGGGAUCGGAGAGGUCGCUACUCUACACAAACAGCACACCUGGUCUCAGGGGCCCUGACAAAGUGUGACCUGCACUGGCCCCACCUCAGGGCAGUCGCCCUCACAUCCCCAGACCAGACUGGGCUCAGAGCAAUGUCCUGCACGGCGGGCGUGAGUGAGCGAGCGGGCGUGCCCUCCAGAGGCCUCCGGACGGCGCAAACUGUCUUUUGUUUGGGCACAGAUUCGAGAAUGCUGCAGCCCGGCCUGGAAGAGGGUCUGGAUUACUUUCCCGUUCCUUGUGUUCCUGCAUCUCGAAGGCCUCCCCAGCAUUCCCUGGUGGUUAUUUCGAGUGCACCUGUUCCUGAAACGGCUUGA